CCUUUCUAUACAAGUUUCUUUUAUUAAAUUUUAUGUUUUAUUCUUGUUCCUUUUAGCAACUCUAAACCCUAACUUAUUAUUUCUCUUCCUUAUUUUCUUUCAACCCUAGCCUUUACCAAUAUCCAGAUUUAAAAAAAAAAAAUCAUGGAAAAAACCGAACAAGACCAAAACCGAUAUGAAAAAAAACGAAACCGCAAAAAACCGAAGAAAAACCAAACCGAACCGAAUAGUAACUUCAGUUUGGUUUCCGGUUUUGGCCAAAAACCGAACCGAACCCACCCCUAAUUUACUCGCCUAAUUAGAUUUGGAAAGGUGUUAAUGAAUUACUUAGCACCACAUUAAUUACUAAAAUAAAUUAAUCAUAAAUAAAUUAAUUGUAAAUGUAUAGGCCAAAAAAAUAAGUGAAGUAUGCACACUUGACAAUUUCUUGCACGGUUAUUAUGGCCCAAUUGAACAAAAUGCGAUUACAAAGGGCCAGCUCUAUCAAAACUUAAACAAGAACUUUCAUGUCAAGUCACAGAAUGUACAUUUUUUGUAUCUUUCUCACAGCGUGUAAGGUCAUGUAAUAAAAGAGGUGGAGAAAAAAAAAUCUGCACACUAUUAUAAGUUUAUCUUCAUCACAUAAAAGCUUUGUAUUGAAUACGAGUUUAUAUGUCCAAAGAUAAUCCGUUGAUAUAUUGUUGAAUGUCCAAAGCAGUUUAUUCUCUACAGGGCAAACCUCAAUAGAAAUAUCUGUAUAGGCAUGCCCCAAAAUUUUCAAAGGCAUCUAUUUACUGUACCCAAAGUCAUUCGUAGGGAAAUUCCCUAUAUCAUUGUACUUAAAAAAAUGUUACUAAAUACCAUCUAUUUUGGUCAUACUCAAUUCUAUGUAUGUUUGUUUAAAUUAAAGUGAGAAUUGCCUAAGAGCAUCUCCAAAUGAGAUGUCAAAAUGUCGAAAUUAGCAAUAACAGUAACAAAAUACACAUUAAUGUUUUCCAACCGAGAACCCAAAUCUGAUGUGGCAUGAUAUGUAAUGACAUCUCUCCCCCUUGCUGCCAAAUUUGACAGCACCUUCAAAUUUUUUAAUUAAUUAUUAAAUGCUUUUUAUUAAUUUUUAUUGGUUUAAAGCAUUAUCCUUUUGUUUCUUUUUGUAACAUCUCACAUCGCCCAGGGUAGAUCCUGUAAGCCUUAUAUUUAUAUUCCAAUCUCUAUUUAGCAUGAGGCAUUUGGGGUGCUCAUUGGCUUUGGGUUCCAUUGGAACUCCAAAGUUAAGCGAGUAGUGUGUGAGAGCAAUCUCAUGAUUGGUGACCCACUGGGAAGUUCUCGUGUGAGUUCCUUGAAACAAAACCUUGAGGACAUGAUCAG
rnacentral:lncRNA from 1 species